CUGAAGAUCUGGGUCAUGCCUGAGUUUCACACGCACUUCCUUCUCCGGUGAAAACAAAGAACAGCGGCCGACGUCUCCUUCCCAGCCGGCGCCGCACUAAUCUGUAAAUGUGUAACAUAAUAUCAUUAGUACAUUUCGAACAGACCUUACAAAUAUUUGAACAGACUAACUAGCUUAAAGAACACAACAACACCUAUGAAAUGAAACUCCAUUUGCGCACAACCCUACUUCUAUGAUUAACGUUGUUGCUACCACAAUCAGCACAACAACAACAGAUGAGACUAAAAGUUUCAAAACCCAAAAUGAACGAAACGAACGAAAGUUCUUACCGAUUCUAAAGUUUCAUCUGGAUUUGAAUCUUGCUUCAUUGUUUGAACAAAUGCGACGUUCGAAAGACCAAGAAAGUGCGAAUAGAAAUGUCGGCAAAAAGAAUAACCACUGAACUGGGAUUAACCACAAGAAAAUUUUUAAUUCUCGAAUAUGAUAUGCAUCGUCGCCCAACAAAACAAUGAACGCUCAAUGAAACAAAAGUCGAAAUGAACUUGAAACAAAAUUGAAUUUCCUAUAGCAAACAAUAUUUGGCAGGACGAAAAUCCCCAAAACAAUUCGAACAAAAUCAAAAACCCUAUACCAAGAAACAUGUAAUACAUCUUGUUCCAUUUUAAAUCAAAACACCCAUGGAAAUUUCGAACAAAAUCGUAAAUAUAAAUUCGUUUACAGAAUCUGAAUCAAAACUAAAGAACACACAAAAAAAAAUCGAACCAAAGCAAUAAACACAUUUACUCAGCUGUUCAAUUUUUGCAAAAAUCGUAUCUUGAAGCAGCAAUCCAA
rnacentral:lncRNA from 1 species